rnacentral:rRNA from 1 species
GAUGAAUGCUGGCGGCGUGCCUAACACAUGCAAGUCGAACGGUGGCUUCGGCCAUAGUGGCGAACGGGUGAGUAACACGUAGUCUACCUACCCUGUAGAGCGGGACAACUGAUCGAAAGAUCAGCUAAUACCGCAUGUUCUCGUGGUGAAUAGUAAGCGACGAGCAAAGGGUCUUCGGGCCGCUAUGGGAUGGGACUGCGGUCCAUCAGCUAGUUGGUGAGGUAAAGGCUCACCAAGGCGACGACGGAUAGGGGGCCUGAGAGGGUGACCCUCCACACUGGAACUGAGACACGGUCCAGACUCCUACGGGAGGCAGCAGUGAGGAAUAUUGCGCAAUGGGGGAAACCCUGACGCAGCAACGCCGCGUGGGUGAAGAA